rnacentral:lncRNA from 1 species
CUGAACACAAAAUGGCGACACGUGGUUAGCAUUCGUCGCCAACGAGAAAUUGGGGUCGGCCCGAAAGCUCUAGAAUGCACCCCUCUUCCUCCCCGGGGCCUUCCACCUCCGCGAGUUUUAUGACUUAAAAAAGCCCACAGGCUGGUCUGAAGAGGAAGACAAACAUAAAGAUGAAGUGCUUAAUUCAAGGUCACACAAUGUCGGGGAUGGACCUCCAGAUUUCCUUACUGACCUGCAUUAUCUUGUGGAUACCUGAGUGAAUUCCACACCACCCAUUUUAUAGAUGAAACCACUGAGACAUGGAGCAAUUGACUGAGUAGUCACUGCCCCACCCCUGCCUGGAGCCUCACACAUGACUCGCCUCCUCUCAGUGACCACAGGUUGGUUGAGGGGUUUAACAAGGCUAAGAAGGUGAGACGUGGUCUUGUAACACAGUGGUUAAGAAUGUGACUUUGGAGCCAGCCUGCUAGGGGCUGAAUUCUGACUCAGCCAUUUACUAACUGUGUGACCUUAGGUGGAGUCUCACUCUGUAGCCCAAGCUGGAGUGGCGUGAUCUCGACUCACUGCAACCUCCGCCUCCUGGGAUCAAGUGAUUCUCGUGCCUCAGCCUCCUGAGUAGCCGGGACUACAGGUCACAGAAUUUUCCACACUCCUUGACAGAGGUGCUUAACCCUUAUCCAUCAGCAUUCUCAGACAGCACCUCCGGUUAGGGACAGUAUCUGACCGUCCGACAUCCCUGCAGCCCCCAUGUGUCACACAGACUCAGCCUCAGGUAGAUGGUUUCCGUAGAUGGUGGCUUUCUUUGGACCCUUGACAUCAACCAGUUACUAUUUGACUCUUCUGCAGAACCCCAUGUUGACCCCUGCUUUGAGGUGGCAGAGUUAACACUACUCUUCGUUAUAAGCUCUCGUCUGGGGCAACUCAGAAGAACCUCAGCAAGGCCCACAUUUUCCCGGUGAAGCCACAGAACCACAGGGAGAAACCCAUGGACUUCGCCUCUCUCUCUAGGGGACCAGAUGUGCAGAGGUAAUGAAUACCAGGGAAUCAGGAAACCACUGGAUCAGUUCUUUGAGCCACAGAACAACACUCAUCCCAGCAGCUGGGAAGCUAUCUGCAAAAGUCCAUCUGCAGAAAGGGCUUCCUGGUCUUGCGUGUGGCUGGGCCAUUUCUCUGGAUGCAGGUUUUUCAUUAUACAGUCUUCUCAAAGAACCACCUGCUCUCAACACC